rnacentral:lncRNA from 1 species
GGCUAGACUCAUUGGUCAUUCAAAUUAUGCCACCGAAGAAGAUGAUUUAUAUUUACUUCACAAAUCACAUUUACUUUUAUCUUCUCUUGUCUCAACCAAAAAAAAGUUCUCCCUCUUGUCAAUUUCAAGCUCUCUUUAAUUUAUUAUGCGCUUCUCUUUUGUUCUCUCUUGGUUUUUCUAUUUUAUGGAUGGUUAAUGUGGCUCUACACUAUAGUAUCAAAGAUUUUUUUGAAUUCGCUUUCCAGUUUAUUACCACUGUCUUCAUUGAUAGAGAA